UGAUGGAGCGAAGCAGCCCCGCACUGAACUCGCAGGGCUCAGCCAGGGAUACCUGGCUGCAGAGACCCUGCCCCCGCAGCACUACCAAGCAUGCCCAGGCUGCAGCUCAGCUAUAAAAGCCAGAGAGGAGGUUGAGUCUGGGCUGGUAGCUGGAGGAGAAAGACCUAGAAAGGAAGCUCCUGCCCAGCAUCCACCAGCGACUCCAGGAGAAGCCAGUGGGAGCACCGGGGCCAGUUGGGAUGUUGCUGGGGUCAUCCACAGAGGAGAAGUCGCCCCAGUGAAUGCGGAGGACCCUGCCAGUACGUAGGAAGCGGCCCCGUCGGACCAGAUCUGUCCAUUGACCUGUGUGUCCAUGCAACACCUCUUUCACGUUCCUUCUGUAAGGACUUGGCUGUGUGGAUCAGAUUGCAGAGGGGAGAUUUUGAAAAGCUCAAGCGUCUGUUUUAUAUCUGCCCUAAAGAAAGAAGCCAACAAGAUCUCAGAUGGAUACAAACAUAUAUCUGAAGAAGAGCAGAACAUUUCAGUGUUUACCUAAUAAAACACAGCUCCAACUUUGCUCCAGUUCUGUAGUCUGCCAAGAGUAAGUAAAAGACAAGAA